AGUUGUCGGGUCUUAAUUGACUUGGUAACGCAGCUAACGCGUGAAGUAGACCGCCUGGGGAGUACGGUCGCAAGAUUAAAACUCAAAGGAAUUGACGGGGACCCGCACAAGCGGUGGAUGAUGUGGAUUAAUUCGAUGCAACGCGAAAAACCUUACCUACCCUUGACAUGGUCGGAAUCCUGAAGAGAUUUGGGAGUGCUCGAAAGAGAACCGGCGCACAGGUGCUGCAUGGCUGUCGUCAGCUCGUGUCGUGAGAUGUUGGGUUAAGUCCCGCAACGAGCGCAACCCUUGUCAUUAGUUGCUACGAAAGGGCACUCUAAUGAGACUGCCGGUGACAAACCGGAGGAAGGUGGGGAUGACGUCAAGUCCUCAUGGCCCUUAUGGGUAGGGCUUCACACGUCAUACAAUGGUACAUACAGAGGGUCGCCAACCCGCGAGGGGGAGCUAAUCCCAGAAAGUGUAUCGUAGUCCGGAUUGUAGUCUGCAACUCGACUACAUGAAGUUGGAAUCGCUAGUAAUCGCGGAUCAGCAUGUCGCGGUGAAUACGUUCCCGGGUCUUGUACACACCGCCCGUCACACCAUGGGAGCGGGUUUUACCAGAAGUGGGUAGCCUAACCGCAAGGAGGGCGCUCACCACGGUAGGAUUCGUGACUGGGGUGAAGUCGUAACAAGG
rnacentral:rRNA from 1 species